GGAGAAGAGAAAACAAUAUUUCGUACUUGUAGCCGCACUUGCACUCAGGGUGGGCCGUUGAUCAACCGAUUCUCGCCGAAGAAGAGCGAGUUAUGAUCAUUUGAUUCGGCCAUGAUUGGGAUAAAACAUGCAUAUCUUUUUAUCUUCCUUGUGAUUGCAGAAUCAUCAAGAUGUCAAUUUUGAGGAAACAGAAAGAUAGAGCUUAUCUUGAGAGGAAAUUUACCUCCUAGCUUUGAUUCAAGUGCGUGCUGCAUUGUGUAAGUGUAGUAGCCUUUUCCCCUUAAUUAUUUUUUUUUUAUCAGAAAAGGAAUUCCCUUUAAUUAUUUUAUUAGUUGUUGUA